rnacentral:rRNA from 1 species
CCUACGGGUGGCAGCAGUGAGGAAUAUUGGUCAAUGGGCGGGAGCCUGAACCAGCCAAGCCGCGUGAGGGAAGAAGGUACAGCGUAUCGUACACCUCUUUUGUCAGGGAACAAAGGCGUGGACGAGUCCCCGGUUGAGGGUACCUGAAGAAAAAGCAUCGGCUAACUCCGUGCCAGCAGCCGCGGUAAUACGGAGGAUGCGAGCGUUCUCCGGAUUUAUUGGGUUUAAAGGGUGCGAAGGCGGCCUGUUAAGUCAGCGGUAAAAGCCCGGGGCUCAACCCCGGCGAGCCGUUGAAACUGGCAGGCUGGAGUUGGAGAGAAGUACGCGGAAGGCGCGGUGUAGCGGUGAAAUGCUUAGAUAUCGCGCAGAACCCCGAUUGCGAAGGCAGUGUACCGGCUCCACACUGACGCUGAGGCACGAAAGCGUGGGUAUCGAACAGGAUUAGAUACCCCUGUAGUC